UACGGGGGGGGCAAGCGUUGUUCGGAAUUACUGGGCGUAAAGGGCUCGUAGGCGGCCAACUAAGUCAGACGUGAAAUCCCUCGGCUUAACCGGGGAACUGCGUCUGAUACUGGAUGGCUUGAGUUCGGGAGAGGGAUGCGGAAUUCCAGGUGCAGCGGUGAAAUGCGUAGAUAUCUGGAGGAACACCGGUGGCGAAGGCGGCAUCCUGGACCGAUACUGACGCUGAGGAGCGAAAGCCAGGGGAGCAAACGGG
rnacentral:rRNA from 1 species